AUUGAACGCUGGCGGCAUGCUUUACACAUGCAAGUAGAACGGUAGCACAGAGAGCUUGCUCUCGGGUGACGAGUGGCGGACGGGUGAGUAAUGUCUGGGAAACUGCCCGAUGGAGGGGGAUAACUACUGGAAACGGUAGCUAAUACCGCAUAACGUCGCAAGACCAAAGUGGGGGACCUGCGGGCCUCACCCCAACGGAUGUGCCCAGAUGGGAUUAGCUAGUAGGUGGGGUAAUGGCUCACCUAGGCGACGAUCCCUAGCUGGUCUGAGAGGAUGACCAGCCACACUGGAACUGAGACACGGUCCAGACUCCUACGGGAGGCAGCAGUGGGGAAUAUUGCACAAUGGGCGCAAGCCUGAUGCAGCCAUGCCGCGUGUAUGAAGAAGGCCUUCGGGUUGUAAAGUACUUUCAGCGGGGAGGAAGGCGGUGGAGUUAAUAACUUCACCGAUUGACGUUACCCGCAGAAGAAGCACCGGCUAACUCCGUGCCAGCCGCCGCGGUAA
rnacentral:rRNA from 1 species